UGAAAGGCCAAAGGCUUGUUGCCCAUGUAGACAAGUCUUUCGUGAUCAUCAGGGACAUAACCUGCAUAUUUAUGCAUGAGCCUCUUUCUUUGCCUAAUGGGGAAGGUUCAGUAAAUGCGGUACAUGA